CCUACGGGAGACAGCAGUGGGGAAUAUUGGACAAUGGGGGAAACCCUGAUCCAGCGACGCCGCGUGAGUGAAGAAGGAUUUCGGUAUGUAAAGCUCUAUUAGCAGGAAAGAAAAUGACGGUACUUGACUAAGAAGCCCCGGCUAACUACGUGCCAGCAGCCGCGGGAAUACGUAGGGGGCAAGCGUUAUCCGGAUUUACUGGGUGUAAAGGGAGCGUAGACGGCAGCGCAAGUCAGGAGUGAAAUGCCGGGGCCCAACCCCGGAACUGCACUGGAAACUGUGAAGCUGGAGUGCAGGAGAGGUAAGCGGAAUUCCUGGUGUAGCGGUGAAAUGCGUAGAUAUCAGGAGGAACACCGGCGGCGAAGGCGGCUUGCUGGACUGUAACUGACGUUGAGGCUCGAAGGCGUGGGGAGCAAACAGGAUUAGAUACCCGAGUAGUC
rnacentral:rRNA from 1 species